ACUCGGACCUGAAUACUCACACUUUCGGAUAAUCUGCAGCCGGUGGUCCACAGCUGACCAGUUUAGGACGCCUCUCUGACUAAAGGCUGGUAUUUCCAUAGAAAGUUGCCAUAGAAACCACAAUGAACGUGAGGUUUUGGAGGGGGACUGCGGGUCUCCUCAUACUGUGGUCCUGUCUGCACUCUGCACACUCGCAGGGCUGCUCGUCGUCUUUCUGCCAAAAAUCUCAUCAAGACCAAUAUCGAGACAGCGGCCUGAAUGGAGUCAACCCAGGGUCUCCUCUCUUCCUCACUCCGUACCUGGAGAAUGGUGCCAUAGAUGAAGCCAGGAAACUGAG